rnacentral:sRNA from 1 species
GCCAGGCGCAGCGGCCACACCUGUAGUCCUAGUGGCUGGGGAGGCUGAGGCAGGAGGAUUGCAGGUUUGAGGCCAGCCUCAGCAACUCAGUGAGACCCUGUCUCAA